CUGACACAGGGAGGUAGUGACAAUAAAUAACAAUGCCGGGCUUUUUAAAGUCUGGCAAUUGGAAUGAGAACAAUUUAAAUCCCUUAUCGAGGAUCAAUUGGAGGGCAAGUCUGGUGCCAGCAGCCGCGGUAAUUCCAGCUCCAAUAGCGUAUACUAAAGUUGUUGCAGUUAAAAAGCUCGUAGUUGAAUUUCUGGUCGUGAAAAGUGGUCCGUUCCGCAAGGAAUGUGUACUGUCUAUUCAUGUCCAUCCUCGGAGUUAGUGUGUAUUACUUUAAUCGGUCGUGCAUACAAUACUUCGUCAUUUACUGUGAGCAAAAUAGAGUGUUCAAAGCAGGCUUAUGCCGUUGAAUAUAUUAGCAUGGAAUAAUAAGAUAUGACUUUGGUCUAUUUUGUUGGUUUGCACUCCAAAGUAAUGAUUAAUAGGGAUAGUUGGGGGUAUUCGUAUUCAAUUGUCAGAGGUGAAAUUCUUGGAUUUAUGGAAGACGAACUACUGCGAAAGCA
rnacentral:rRNA from 1 species